GACGAACGCUGGCGGCGUGCUUAACACAUGCAAGUCGAACGAAGAGCGAUGGAAGCUUGCUUCUAUCAAUCUUAGUGGCGGACGGGUGAGUAACGCGUAAUCAACCUGCCCUUCAGAGGGGGACAACAGUUGGAAACGACUGCUAAUACCGCAUACGAUCUCAUCUCGGCAUCGAGGAUAGAUGAAAGGUGGCCUCUACAUGUAAGCUAUCACUGAAGGAGGGGAUUGCGUCUGAUUAGCUAGUUGGAGGGGUAACGGCGCACCAAGGCGAUGAUCAGUAGCCGGUCUGAGAGGAUGAGCGGCCACAUUGGGACUGAGACACGGCCCAGACUCCUACGGGAGGCAGCAGUGGGGAAUCUUCCGCAAUGGACGAAAGUCUGACGGAGCAACGCCGCGUGAGUGAUGACGGCCUUCGGGUUGGAAAGCUCUGUUAAUCGGGACGAAAGGCCUUCUUGCGAAUAGUGAGAAGGAUUGACGGUACCGGAAUAGAAAGCCACGGCUAACUACGUG
rnacentral:rRNA from 1 species